AAUAACAUCAUUAAACAGAAAGUCUCAAUGAAAUAGAAACAUUAAAAAAAAAACGGAGAAAAAUAAACUCAACUGUGCCUCAACGUUCUCUUUCCGUAUCUUUUCU
rnacentral:ribozyme from 14 species